rnacentral:rRNA from 1 species
GACGAACGCUGGCGGCGUGCUUAACACAUGCAAGUCGAACGGAAAGGCCUGCUUUCCCUUGUGGAUUGCGGGUACUCGAGUGGCGAACGGGUGAGUAACACGUGAGUGAUCUGCCCCCAACUUGGGUAUAAGCCUGGGAAACUGGGUCUAAUUCCCGAUAGGACUGCAGGGCGGUGCCUGUGGUGGAAAACGAUUUUCUAGUGGUUGGGGAUGAGCUCGCGGCCUAUCAGCUUGUUGGUGGGGUAAUGGCCUACCAAGGCGGCGACGGGUAGCCGGCCUGAGAGGGUGGACGGCCACAUUGGGACUGAGAUACGGCCCAGACUCCGACGGGAGGCGGCAGUGGGGAAGAUUGCACAAUGGGCGGAAGCCUGAUGCAGCGACGCCGCGUGGGGGAUGACGGCCUUCGGGUUGUAAACUCCUUUCGACCGCGAGGAAGCCACCUGGUUGGAAGGGUGGUGACGGUAGUGGUAGAAGAAGCACCGGCUAACUACGUG